rnacentral:rRNA from 1 species
GACGAACGCUGGCGGCGUGCUUAACACAUGCAAGUCGAACGAUGAAGCCGGAGCUUGCUCCGGUGGAUUAGUGGCGAACGGGUGAGUAACACGUGAGCAAUCUGCCCUUGACUCUGGGAUAACUGCGGGAAACUGUAGCUAAUACAGGAUACGACACCUUGGGGCAUCCCAGGGUGUGGAAUGUAUUUCGGUCAAGGAUGAGCUCGCGGCCUAUCAGCUAGUUGGUGAGGUAAUGGCUCACCAAGGCGACGACGGGUAGCCGGCCUGAGAGGGUGACCGGCCACACUGGAACUGAGACACGGUCCAGACUCCUACGGGAGGCAGCAGUGGGGAAUAUUGCACAAUGGGCGAAAGCCUGAUGCAGCAACGCCGCGUGAGGGAUGAAGGCCUUCGGGUUGUAAACCUCUUUUAGCAGGGAAGAAGCGAGAGUGACGGUACCUGCAGAAAAAGCACCGGCUAACUACGUGCCAGCAGCCGCAGUAA